UCAUUCUCUAUAUAAAGGGAGAAAUGUUAUUAUAAAUGAAAAGAGAGAUGCAGCGCUUUUAUUUUACAUGUCAUAAACAUAACAAAGAAUGGGAAGUGACAAAUUUUUCACUCUCAAGAUUACAAGCAAAAUAAGAAUAUACAUCAAAGAAGUCAAUCCAAUUUUCCUGAACAUACAUCUGCACAAAUGCUAAAGAGACACACCAGAAGAUAUAAUCAUAUAAAUAUUAUUAUACCAGCAGCUUAUUUACUUGAAUCUAGCUUGGUUUAGAAGAACUGUAUCCAAUAGUAUCACAGCCUGCACUCUACAGCUCUAUGGUACAAUUUUCCAUACUAUAACAAAAAUACAAAUUGCAAAGACCUCAACUGGAAAACAGUCUGGUUAUUAAUAAUGCUAUACCCACAAGAUUGCAAACCAUAUGAUAAUUUUUGUUAUAAACAUUGAGAAAUUGUUUAGAUACCAUUGAUUUCAACUAUGAAAAUCACUAAACAUUACUUAAAUGGAUAGAAAACAUAUUCUUAAGCAUUUGGAAAGUUAACUAAUGUAACUGUUAACUUCAUUACCUAGUGCUGGUCCCAUUAAAUUCUGAACUAGUUAAAAUUUAAUUUGUCCUCAGGUUAUGUCAUUAUAUCUUUUUGGUGGCUACUUGUUGCUAUUUUUUUAAGGGAUAUGGUCAAGCAUCAUAUAAGUAAACUCAAUCAGUUUGAGCCAAAUCUCACUUUCUUCGCUAAGAGAAACCAACCAUAUAGGUAGUUUACAUUUUUUUUUUUUAUAUGAAAGAGUAAUUUUAUUGCUAAACAAAUGAGAAUACAAUGCAAAAAUGCAAAAAGUUGCAAAAAUUCUAUUUACUAGAAAAUGUUCCAUUUCUAAGGCUAUCAACUCUAGAAAAACCAGAAUUGUUGCCUCCAAUCUCCCAUUCAAUCUUCAGUACGAAGAGUAAUGUUUCCAUCUAGUGCUUCUGUGCACUGGAUGGGAUACAGGACCAAAACAUGGCCAUAUUAGGACAUGUGUUGUGUCUGUGUCAUGUCCAGUGCUCCUGUGCACUGGACGCAAGCCAAAUCCGUGCUAAGAGAAAGUUUUCUGAUAUUAGCUGUGGCAGACUUGUCCCUCAUUUGCUCUAUUCUCCAAUUUAGUUCCCCUUUUAUAGACCACCUCAACAUAUGACUAGAUAUGCUCCUGGUGAAUUACAACUAAAAAGCAAGUGUUCCCAAACUCUCCUCAGGAUUACCACAAAGCACAUAUAUUAUUUCUUUCAAUCUCCCAAUAUUCACAAGUACUUCCAGUCUGAUAAGCCUUUUGUCAACAGUCAACAGUCAACAGUCAUCCACUAAACAAAGGCUGGUUCACUUUUACCAGAUAUAAGGAAUGGUUUUGAACCAAAAGUUGUAACACCAUAUGUCUCUAAGGGACUAGCCAAAUAAUAACCAUGUCAAAACCAUGCAACAUAUAUUUGGCAGAGCUUUGCCAAAAAAACCCCCAAAUUCUGAGGGGUGACAUAAGUGAGUUCCUAUUUAAAUUUUAAACACCAGAUUUUCUACCUCAAAUUGGAAACCUAGCAAUUGAGUAGUAACACACAUGAAAAUAUAGUAGUCACAACUAACAAACAUUUAAAUGACAACGCAUACUUCUGCCGUAUUGCUAAAUUCUAAAUUACAGCAUAAUUAUAUAUGGCAAUGCCUUUUUUACCUAUGUAUGUAUAAGGAAUUUGUAUUCGUUUGCUCUGUUCAAUUUUAGAAAUUCAAGGUAUAAUACCUGAAUAUGGAAAUAUAUGUUACCCAAGAGAAUCUAGUAUAGACCUAGAUGGAGAUAUUAUUAUUAUUAUUACAGACUAAGGAAAUACAAAGCAACUUCAUAACAAAACAUGGAAAUUUUCAAGUAAAAAUUUUGUAGUGUUAAAAGGAUAAAUAUGCGUAUAUCUCAAAUUCCUGCAAAUAAGAUGCUCACAAUUCACAUGACAAUUAUGUCAAG